UGGGGAAUUUUGGACAAUGGGCGAAAGCCUGAUCCAGCAAUGCCGCGUGUGUGAAGAAGGCCUUCGGGUUGUAAAGCACUUUUGUCCGGAAAGAAAUCCUUGGCUCUAAUACAGUCGGGGGAUGACGGUACCGGAAGAAUAAGCACCGGCUAACUACGUGCCAGCAGCCGCGGUAAUACGUAGGGUGCAAGCGUUAAUCGGAAUUACUGGGCGUAAAGCGUGCGCAGGCGGUUUGCUAAGACCGAUGUGAAAUCCCCGGGCUCAACCUGGGAACUGCAUUGGUGACUGGCAGGCUAGAGUAUGGCAGAGGGGGGUAGAAUUCCACGUGUAGCAGUGAAAUGCGUAGAGAUGUGGAGGAAUACCGAUGGCGAAGGCAGCCCCCUGGGCCAAUACUGACGCUCAUGCACGAAAGCGUGGGGAGCAAACAGGAUUAGAUACCCUGGUAGUCCACGCCCUAAACGAUGUCAACUAGUUGUUGGGGAUUCAUUUCCUUAGUAACGUAGCUAACACGUGAAGUUGACCGCCUGGGGGAGUACGGUCGCAAGAUUAAAACUUAAAUGAAUUGACGGGGUCAUAGCUGUUUCCU
rnacentral:rRNA from 1 species